rnacentral:lncRNA from 1 species
UAAUUAUUUAAGUUGUUCGAAAGCAGUCUUACAAAAGUUCAAAUAACAUAUGCUGACGUAAGUUAAAUACUCUAAUCAAUCUAACUAAAAUGCUAAUAACUGAUGGAAUCAUCGGAACAUCUAACACACUCCCCAAUCCAGUGCGAUCAAGCCUCUAGAUCUGAAAAACAGAGAAAAUAAAAUAAUGAGCUACACUAGCCCAGUAAGCAACAAAAUACCCCAAAAUGGGGUUAGAGCAUAUCAGAUCAAAAUAUAGGAUAAUGUCUGAAAUAAAUCAUAAAUAACAUUGUUUUACUGUUUUCAAAACUUAUUAUCAUUUUUCCAAAAACUCUGAUACCAAAAUCUCAACAUAAUAGGCUACGGCUACGUAACCCAGUGGCAUGAGUUGCACAAGGUGCCAAACACCACUAUUAUUAAGCACCGGUGGUACAGUAUCCAAAUACCACUAUUCUAAUCACCGGUGGUACGGUGUCGAAAUCGGUUCCUCACAUAUUACAAGUCGACAGGUCCAACGUAUAAUCCAUAUUGGCGGGGCCAGAACAGAACAGAACAGGUCAUAGCCAUGCUGAGAAUGCAUAUAUACAAAAAUAGAUUUCAUAAAUUGUCUAAUCAUAUUUUACGAAUUUCAGAGCAUAUAACAUAAUUUUCAAUAAAAUUUAACAUGCCUGACCCAUUUUACAGAAUACAAAAUAUAUAUCAAAUUUUAAUCAAUUUAUCAAAUAAUUUGAAAAUCAUACUUGAAGUAUUAAGUUACUUACCUCUUCUCGCUUAAUUCCUACUUCAGAUAGGUGGAUCAGGUUCACCUGUUUAAAUUUAAUUAAUUCCUUUGUUAAUUUCAGAGCUAAGCAAAACUUAAAUUAAUAUUAUUGGACACGGCCCAACAGGGUCCAGAGUUGGCCCAUAAUGGGCAUGGCCCGAUAGGGCCCACAUCGAACACGACCCAAUGGGCUCGCAUACCCCGGCCCAGUAAGGCCCCCAAGGUUGGAAUCUAAUUGGUUCAUUUAUGCAAUAAAAAUUCAUUGCAGGGACUAAUACUUAAUUACAGGGUACUGUUCUAUAAUAAAACUUGAGUAAAGAGACCAAACAAAUAUAUUUGAGGGCCUUUAUGUAAUAAAUCUUUCUUAUAGGGAUCAAACAUAAUUUACAGAAGGCUCUUUUGUAUAAUAAUAUAUUAUCAAGGGCUUAACUGUAAAAUUUUAUUUAUUGGCCAAACGGGUUCGGGUUUUGGGUUCCGACCUUCGGGUCUGAACUGGGUUUCAGAUUUCGAAUUUUGGGUCUGAACUGGGUUUCGAGUUUUCUUCUCUCUCUUUUUUUUGUUUCGGGUUUCGGGUUCGAACCGGGCCCAAGUUGGGCCUGCAGUGGAUAGGGCCCGUGAACAGGGCCCUUCUUCUUCCCCAAAUCCCCACGAAGAGGGAAAGAAGAAGAAGAGGAAGAAGGGACCGGCUGGGGGGGAGGGUCAGCCUAGGCGGCCGGGGGCUGUUGCCCGGCCGACUGCAGUGGCGGCCGGCGGCUGCUGCAGCGACGGGCGUCGAAGGAAAACCGAGUGAUCUCGGUUUGGGGCCAAAGCAAAGGAAGGAAAUCAAGCAUGUUCAGGCUAGAUCGAAGAGCAAAAAGGGAAAAGGGAUUACCAGCAGUCGAUGGAGAGGCAGAUCCUAGCCAUGGCUGCUCGAUCCGGUGGACAAGCGGUGGCGGUAGCAGUGCUCGGAACCGAGAGGAUGGAUCUCGGAACAGGGGGCAGGCCGCGAGAGGAAUCUGGAUGGCGCUCGGUCGGAAAGACACGCCGGUCACUCGGGAGGUAAAAACAGAGGAAGGAGAGGGAGGAAAGGGAGGAGAGGAAGAGGAUUCGGAGGUGGUCCUAGGAAAAAAUGGGGAUUUUUAUCACCGCCUUAUAACGGCUCUCCACCGCAUGAAUCGCGGCGACCGAGCGAAAUCCACGGCCAGGAUUGGCCGCGGAUUGACCGGAGGGGGGUGCCGCGGGAUACCUGCGGCGCCCUUGCCCUGUUUGUCCCCGGAGGAGCCGGAGAGGGUCGCCAUCGCGAUCCUCUGUUCCGGCUCUUCCCAAAAGAGGACGCGGCCGAAGUCGGCUGGGGCUGCCGACUUCAACCCGUAUCUCACAUUCUCUCUCCCUUAGUAAAAUUUCAUCCUCGAAAUUUAACAUACCUUAGCUUGCAAAAAGGCCCAAAUAUUUUUCCUUCAUCUUGUCCUCCAGUUCCCAUGUAGCCUCACGUUCUGAGUAAUUACUCCACUAGAUCUUAACAUAAGAAAUUGUGCACCUCCUCAACACUUGUUCUUUUCUAUCAACCACACGUACAGACUGCUUAAUGUGCAUAGCAGAGAACUCGAGGGAAAGUAUAAGCACCACUACCUAUGAAGCUAAAUUCAGUGUCUCUAGGGAUCUAAAAUUUUACCCGCUUUUCAUGGCAGUUAAUGGUAACAAAGCGUGACGCUAACCAGUCCAUACCGAGAAUUAUGUCAAAGUUAUACAUAUCUAUAAUUAUCAAAUCAGCAGGCAAGUUUCUACCUACUAUCUGAACUGGACAAGUCUUGCAGACCUGAUUACCAAUCAUCCCACUUCCGGCAGGGGUGUUAACAUGCAAAUCAUACUCUAACAGCACACAAGGUAGGUCAUGUUUUCGCACAAAAUCGAUGACACAAUGAAUGUGUAGCACCAGAAUCAAACAGUAUAUAAGCAUAAACAGAAGCAACCGGUAGUAUACCUGACACCACAGUAUUGGAUGCCUAAGCAUCCUGCUGAGUCAGUGCAUAAAUACGACCCAGUGUGCGCGGUCUUCCUCCUUUCUGCUGCUUAGGAGAAGAAGGCUGAACUGACCAAGCCGGAGCAGGAGAAGCUUGCACUUGCUGGGUUCUUGUAGUUUGAGGCCUCUGAACUGAUUGAGAGUCUUGCUGAUUAUAAGGGCACUCUUUAUCCUAUGACCUUGUUGGUCACAUUUGAAACAAGUGCCGAACAACCGUCUACAAAGUUCUGUCUUAUAGGUGCCUCCACAUGCUUCACAUUUAGGCUUCUCUUAUUGAAUAGUCUCUCCAUAAGAUCCCUGCUUUUCUGAUUGCCCAGACCUAUUACGAGAUUUUGCUGUCCUACUAGAAUUCUGUCCACUAUGAGUAUCAUCAUCUUUGCUCCUAUUCUUUUGUAUUUUAUCUUUUGAAUCUUGUGUUUCUUUCCAGACAAUUUUCAUAUUCUUGGCCCUGUCUACCAGGUCAUCAUAGUUUGUUGAGUGCACUACGGCCAAACCCCGAUGUAAGUGAGGCUUCAAUCCUUCUUCAAAUCUCCUCAUCCGGGACACUGCAUCCAUGACGAGGGUGGGAGCAAACUGAGNNNNNNNNNNNNNNNNNNNNAGUAUCAUCAUCUUUGCUCCUAUUCUUUGUAUUUUAUCUUUGAAUCUUGUGUUUCCUUCCAGACAAUUUUCAUAUUCUUGGCCCUGUCUACCAGGUCAUCAUAGUUUGUUGAGUGCACUACGGCCAAACCCCGAUGUAAGUGAGGCUUCAAUCCUUCUUCAAAUCUCCUCAUCCGGGACACUGCAUCCAUGACGAGGGUGGGAGCAAACUGAGAUAGCCUGUCAAACUCUGCCUCAUACUCAUCCACAGUCAUAGUUCCUUGAUUCAGAUUGAGAAAUUCCCUCUCUAGCUCCCUCAGGCGAUUGGAGGGAAAGUACUUGAAGUAGAAUGCUGUGCGGAAUCUCUGCCAGGUAAGUGCCUCCUGCUCAGGUGCCAAUGUGCACUCCACGACAUCCACCAAUGAUAAGCUCGGUCCUGAAGCAUAUAGAUGGCAAAUUUGACCUUCUCUUCAUCGGUGCACUCCAUUGCCCUGAAGGCUUUCUCCAUUUCAUCUAUCCAGGCUUCGGCAUCUUGAGGAUUAGUGAUGUCUUUAAAAGCCGAAGGAGCCAUUCUUUUGAAUUCUGCUAUGCUCCUUCUUUGCUCAGGAUGAGCAACAUCUUGCUGGAUGGGUUGCUGAGAUUGUUGCCUCGGUUGACGUACUAACCCAAUGACCUCCUCAAUCAGUUCGAGCACUCGAGUUUGAUUUCCGGCGGCAGUUUCUAGAGUUGAUUGGCCCUGAGGCCCUGAGCUAUGCGAUGCCUCGCCUUCUUGGUUAGUAGGGGCUCUUCCCCGAGAACCCCCAACCAUCUGAUUCAAGCUACGGACACGGCGAGGUGGCAUUCUGAUUCAGUGAAGAUAUAUACAUGUCAUAAAAUCAUCCAAACAGAAUAAUACGAAAUAGUUAGUAAAAUAAAAUACACAUUAUCUCCUUGUUUAGCUCCUACCCAUCUCUCAACCUUUCCGACGUAUCCUAGGAAUCCUAAAACUUAAGCUCCAUUUGACUAUUUCAAACACAAUCCCUAGGAAUCUGAAACCUGAGCUCUGAUACCACCAAAUCUGUCACACCCCAAGCCCGGAGCGCGGUAGACGCCGCACGCCCGCACGGCGGACCGCACAGGCGUGCAAGGCAACAGAUCAUAUCAAAGCAAAUACAAAUGCUUAAAGAUGACAUAAUUAUUUAAGUUGUUCGAAAGCAGUCUUACAAAAUUUCAAAUAACAUAUGCUGAUGUAAGUCAAAUACUCUAAUCAAUCUAACUAAAAUGCUAAUAACUGAUGAAAUCAUCGGAACAUCUAACGCACUCCCCAAUUCUGUGCGAUCAAGCCUCUGGAUCUAAAAAAUAGAGAAAAUAAAAUAAUGAGCUACACUAGCCCAGUAAACAAUAAAAUACCCCAAAGUGGGGUCAGAGCAUAUCAGAUCAAAAUGCAGGAUAAUGUCUGGAAUAAAUCAUAAAUAACAUUGUUUUACUGUCUUCAAAACUUAUUAUCAUUUUUUCAAAAACUCUGAUACCAAAAUCUCAACAUAAUAGGCUACGGCCACGUAACCCAGUGGCAUGGGUUGCACAAGGUGCCAAACACCACUAUUAUUAAGCACCGGUGGUACGGUGUCUAAAUACCACUAUUCUAAUCACCGGUGAUACAGUGUCGAAAUCGGUUCCUCACAGAUUACAAGUCGACAGGUCCAACGUAUAAUCCUCAUUGGCGGGGCCAGAACAGAACAGGUCAUAGCCAUGUUGAGAAUGCAUAUAUACAAAAAUAGAUUUCAUAAAUUGUCUAAUCAUAUUUUACGGAUUUUAGAGCAUAUAACAUAUUUUUCAAUAAAAUUUAACAUGCCUGACCCAUUUUACAGAAUACAAAAUAUAUAUCAAAUUUUCAUCAAUUUAUCAAAUAAUUUGGAAAUCAUACUUGAAGUAUUAAGUUACUUACCUCUUCUCGCUUAAUUCCUACUUCAGAUAGGCGGAUCAGGUUCACC